AGAGAAGCUGGGCAAGUAGUGGACUCAGCUGAUUGUGGAGAGCACCACAGUGGUCACCACACAGUCCUCUGAGGUUGGAGCUGCUGAGAUGACACU
ensembl:miRNA